CAGAGAGCCUGGAGCUCACGGGACAACAUUCACACACAUUCUGCUUCAUGAAGAGGUCAGAUUAUCGUCAGACCAUAGACAUUACAUGUAAGGACACUGAACAUUUGGCCGGAUUACACAUAGAAAUGCAAUCCAAAACAAAAUGGGUAAAGAUAAAGCAUGUUUAUUGAUGCGGCAAACAAAGGUUCAAAUAUCCUCCAAAGCACUUCAAGCCCUCAAAGAAUGAAACUCAAAACGCAGAUGAGGUAAAAGAAGAAACUUCUAAAUUAAAGUGGAGCGACCCAGGGACAAGUCUGGUUUGGGUUAAAGAUUAUGGAUGGUUAACUUUGUGUAACGUGUUUGGACAAGCAAGUUUAGGUUUUAGGCAAGCGACUUCAGGUAUUAGGCAAGCGACUUCAGGUAUUAGGCAAGCGAGUUUAGCCAAGCGAGUACAG